rnacentral:rRNA from 1 species
UGGCCUUGACAUACUAAGAACUUUCCAGAGAUGGAUUGGUGCCUUCGGGAACUUAGAUACAGGUGCUGCAUGGCUGUCGUCAGCUCGUGUCGUGAGAUGUUGGGUUAAGUCCGCAACGAGCGCAACCCUUUUCCUUAUUUGCCAGCGGGUCAUGCCGGGAACUUUAAGGAUACUGCCAGUGACAAACUGGAGGAAGGCGGGGACGACGUCAAGUCAUCAUGGCCCUUACGGCCAGGGCUACACACGUGCUACAAUGGUCGGUACAAAGGGUUGCUACCUCGCGAGAGGAUGCUAAUCUCAAAAAGCCGAUCGUAGUCCGGAUCGCAGUCCGCAACUCGACUGCGUGAAGUCGGAAUCGCUAGUAAUCGCGGAUCAGAAUGCCGCGGUGAAUACGUUCCCGGGCCUUGUACACACCGCCCGUCACACCAUGGGAGUUUGUUGCACCAGAAGUAGGUAGUCUAACCGCAAGGAGGACGCUUACCACGGUGUGGCCGAUGACUGGGGUGAAGUCGUAACAAGGUAGGCGUAGAUGA